rnacentral:ncRNA from 1 species
GAUAAGUUUUAUUCUUGCUAAGUUAUUUACUAUAUAAUGAAAUUAUAUGCAGAUUGUUAAAAAUUGAAUAUCCUAAAUGGAUAACAAUAUUUAUGGCAGUAAUUAAUAUUAGUAAUUUAAGAAAUUUUGAACUAGUUAUUUUCAUUAAGUAUUGAUUAAAUAUGUGCCAGCAGUCGCGGUUAUACAUAAAAUAUUAGUAAAUAUAAUUAGUUUAUUAGUUAUUAUGGAAGAUAAGGUACAGUUUAUAAAUUAAUUUUAGGUGAAAUUUAAUUAAUUUUUUUUUGUCAUUUUGAAGUAAGAAGCUAUGAAAUCUAAUAAUUAAGACUAGGAUUAGAUACCCUAUUAUUUUGGAUUUAAAAAUUAUAACUUGAGUAGUAUUAGUUAUGAUCUUGAAACUUAAAGAAUUUGGCGGUAUUUUAGUCUAUUUAGAGGAAUCUGUUCAGUUAUCGAUAAUCCACGUUGGACCUUACUUAAUUUAUGAAUAUGUAUACCGCCGUUUAUUGAAAAUCUUUAUAGGGAUAAUUUUCUUGAUAUAAAAUUUUAUAACAUUUCAGGUCAAGGUGCAGUUUAUAAUUAAGUUGAAAUGGAUUACAAUAUUGGAAUAUGCGGAUUAUGAUUUGAAAUUAGUUAUAUGAAGGUGGAUUUAAUAGUAAUGUUAAAUAGAUUAUUAAAGUGAUUGAGGCUCUAGAAUGUGUACACAUCGCCCGUCACUCUCGUUAAUUAAGAUGAGAUAAGUCGUAACAAAGUAGGUGUACCGGAAGGUGUAGCUAGAAAGGG